rnacentral:lncRNA from 1 species
UGCAUCGAGGAGGAGAUAAGAUUCCAAGACUAAAUACCCUUCUCCGUCGUCCUUCAUCUCUACAAAACACCAAUCUGCAAAGGAUAUCUCAUUUUAUCGAGAAGAUUGCGACCUGCAAAGAAAGCCAGUAUUUUGAAAACCGAGUUUCAAAUUAUCGAAAUAGGGCGAAAUAAGGCAAAUCCUUUUAAGUACUGGCUGCCGGAAGGAAUGAGUAGACUCAGGUUUUGGCUGCUCCAACUGCGCUGUCGAAGAGACAUGCUGAUGGUUCAUUGCCAAUUGAAGAUUUCAACAUAGUACUUGAAAAUCAGAGUGGGAAGAAAGUACAAAUGGGAUCGGAGACUGAUCAGCGGGCAAUCAUGAUGAGCCUGAUGUUAAAUACCAAUGCAAAGCAACUGAUUAAAGCACAAAAUU